UUCAAUUUUUCUUUCUCUCUCUCUCUUCUCUUUCAAUUUGCCUGUCUUCUUCCUCUCCCUCAACCUUCCCCUCUUUGUCUCUUUCUUCUUCUUUCUCUCUCCGAAUCUUCUUUCUCUCUCAAAGCGACAUCUUCUAUUUUCUACUUUCUUCCUCUUCAUUUCCCCUUUUCUUCACCAUCUUAUUUGUUUCCCAAAACGAAAUCGACACGAUUAUCAGGUUUUUUUUGGAUUUCUGUUUAAAGUUACUGUUGAUAUUGUGGUUAGUGUUUUUGUGGUUUAUAUGAUGAUUUUGUGGGUUAUAUGAUGAUUUUGUGGUUAGGGUUUUUGUGAUUGUGGUUGAUAUCAUGAUUUUGUGGAUAGGGUUUUGAUGCUGCUAUUGGCCAAAUGGAGGUAACCGGCGAUUAGUAUGGUGGUGGUGGUGGAAACGGGUUUCCGCCGAUGAGUGUGGUGGUGGCCGAAAUCAGAAAGAGAUGAAAGGUUGGAUCAGCUGUUGCAGAACAAUCCAAUGUACAUACAGAACUUCGUCCAUUGCUCGCUUGAUGUGGUUGAUGACUGAGAUUGCAGAAAAACAAAACUUCUUAAUAUUCGAGGAUCGUAAGUUUGCCGACAUUGUUAACACCAUGACCAUGCAGUAUGAAAGCUUUGGCAGCAUGUGAGGAAAAGUUAAAUGAGAUCACAGGCCUUACAAAUGAAACAGGGGAAGCCAUCUUUUGACAUAACAGAGUACUUGGAUUUCAUGUCAACGGGAGGCGUGGUAAUUGACAAAUAAAUAUUUGAUUAAGGUUUCUU